AUCCUGAAUUGUAUGACUUUGAUGAUGAACAGGAUGAGAACAUGGUUGACUUCAAGAAGAUUGUGAGUGAAAACUGGUUUGAACCCCCAAAAAGAGAGCGGAAGCGGAAUUACUCAGAAUCCGAGUACUUUAAACAAACCCUGCGCCAAGGUGGUCCAGCAAAACCAAAGGAGCCUCGAAUUCCUCGCAUGCCUCAACUGCUCGAUUUCCAAUUUUCUAACACUCCGAGGCU